GACGAACGCUGGCGGCGUGCUUAACACAUGCAAGUCGAACGGUGACCCUCGGAGCUUGCUUCGGGGUGAACAGUGGCGAACGGGUGAGUAACACGCGAGUAACCUGCCCCUGACUCUGGAAUAAGCGCUGGAAACGGCGUCUAAUACCGUAUACGACACGCCUCCGCCUGGGGAGCGUGUGGAAAGUUUUUCGGUCUGGGAUGGACUCGCGGCCUAUCAGCUUGUUGGUGAGGUAAUGGCUCACCAAGGCGAUGACCGGUAGCCGGCCUGAGAGGGCGACCGGCCACACUGGGACUGAGACACGGCCCAGACUCCUACGGGAGGCAGCAGUGGGGAAUAUUGCACAAUGGGCGAAAGCCUGAUGCAGCGACGCCGCGUGAGGGAUGACGGCCUUCGGGUUGUAAACCUCUUUCAGCAGGGAAGAAGCGAAAGUGACGGUACCUGCAGAAGAAGCACCGGCUAACUACGUGCCAGCCGCCGCUGUAAGAC
rnacentral:rRNA from 1 species